rnacentral:rRNA from 1 species
AUUGAACGCUAGCGGGAUGCUUUACACAUGCACGUCGAACUAGUGGCGGACGGGUGAGUAAUAUAUCGGAACGUGCCCAGUAGCGGGGGAUAACUACUCGAAAGAGUGGCUAAUACCGCAUACUCUUGGAGCGGCCGAUAUCGGAUUAGCUAGUUGGUGGGGUAAAGGCUCACACAGGCAACUACCCGUAGCUGGUUUGAGAGUACGCCCAACUACACGGUGACGGAGACACGGCCCAGACUCCUACGGGAGGCCGCAUUGGGGAAUUUUGGACAAUGGGGGAAACCCUGAUCCAGCCAUCCCGCGUGUAUGAGAAGGCCUUCGGGUUGUAAAGUACUUUUGGCAGAGAAGCGGUAUCUGCAGAAUAAGCACCGGCUAACUACGUGCCAGCAGCCGCGGUAAUAC